AUUUCUGGCCCUUCGCCAUUUUCCCAAGGACUUCCUCCAACCGGCUAUUUUGUACUGGGCUUCCCAACAAUAUACACACAUACCAAGAGUAAACUCCUUUACAAAAAAUUCUGAAGGAUUUGGAGACAGAGCAAGAGUAAUACACUUGCAGCCUCUGUUGCAGGGUGAUUGCCCCUUUGCAACAACAUCCAUAGAAGACCACUGUCUCUCAACCUGCGUGUUUGCUGUACACAUAUUAAUGGAAACUCAGAAGUACCGAUCUAGAGUCAGGUAAGCAAGAUACUCAGCACUCAAAAUUUGGGGAUGCAUUAUUCUCAAGCGCAAGCUCAGCACCUCAUGCUUCCUGAAACCUAGUUCCCCAGGGAUGAAUGUCUGAUCAUCUACUACUCCCCUGUCUGCCUCACGGUCUUCUGUUCUGUCUUCUGGCUGUCUUUACUUUUUCUCAUCUUCCCCUUCUACAGUGGGCUGAAGCAUGAUGGUAGGCAAAUGUGUUUCCUUUAAGAAUCUAUAUUACAAUCGAGCAAGGCCGUAUGGAGACUUC
rnacentral:lncRNA from 1 species